UACGAAGGGUGCAAACGUUGCUCGGAAUCAUUGGGCGUAAAGCGCACGUAGGCGGCGCAGUAAGUCGGACGUGAAAUCCCUCGGCUCAACCGAGGACGUGCAUCCGAAACUACUGUGCUCGAGUAUGGAAGAGGGUCGCGGAAUUCUCGGUGUAGAGGUGAAAUUCGUAGAUAUCGGGAGGAACACCAGUGGCGAAGGCGGCGACCUGGGCCAACACUGACACUGAGGAGCGAAAGCCAGGGGAGCAAACGGG
rnacentral:rRNA from 1 species